GAGGAAGGCGUGGAUGACGUCAAGUCCGUAUGGCCUUUAUAUCCGGGGCUGCACACGUGCUACAAUGGUCGGUACAGAAGGAAGCGAAGUCGCGAGGCGGAGCAGAUCCCCAAAACCGUACCUUAGUUCAGAUUGCAGUCUGCAACUCGACUGCAUGAAGCCGGAAUCGCUAGUAAAGGCGUAUCAGCUACGACGCCUUGAAUACGUUCCCGGGCCUUGUACACACCGCCCGUCACAUCAUGGGAGCUGAUUGCACCCGAAGUCGCUGCCCCGACCUGCAAAGGAGGGAGGCGCCUAAGGUGUGGUUAGUGACUGGGAUGAAGUCGUAACAAGG
rnacentral:rRNA from 1 species